rnacentral:rRNA from 1 species
AUAUCAAUAAGCGGAGGAAAAGAAACUAACAAGGAUUCCCCUAGUAACGGCGAGUGAACCGGGAUGAGCUCAAAUUUGAAAUCUGGCGUCCUCAGGGCGUCCGAGUUGUAAUCUAUAGAGGCGUUUUCCGUGCCGGACCGUGUCCAAGUCCCUUGGAACAGGGUAUCAAAGAGGGUGACAAUCCCGUACUUGACACGACGACCGGUGCUCUGUGAUACGUCUUCUACGAGUCGAGUUGUUUGGGAAUGCAGCUCAAAAUGGGUGGUGAGUUCCAUCUAAAGCUAAAUAUUGGCGAGAGACCGAUAGCGAACAAGUACCGUGAGGGAAAGAUGAAAAGCACUUUGGAAAGAGAGUUAAACAGUACGUGAAAUUGUUGAAAGGGAAACGAUUGAAGUCAGUCGUGACUGUUGGGCUCAGCAGGUUCUGCCUGUGUAUUCCCCUCAGUCGGGUCAACAUCAGUUUUGACCGGUGGAUAAGGGCAGCAGGAAUGUGGCACCUCCGGGUGUGUUAUAGCCUGUCGUCGCAUACAUCGGUUGAGACUGAGGAACGCAGCUCGCCCUUGAGGCCGGGGUUCGCCCACGUCCGAGCUUAGG